rnacentral:lncRNA from 1 species
AAGGGGGAGCCCCCUCAGCAGCCGCCGAGCCUCCGCCGCGUAGCGCCCGCCUCACGCCGAGCCCGCAGCGGCCCCUGGCGGCCGGCCGGGCCCCGAGCGCCGCCGGGAGGGCGGGGGGGGGCUUCACCUGCCGCGGGGCUGCCCCAGGGGGUCGGGCAGGGGGGCGUGAGGCAGCUCCUGAGCUCUGGUGGCUCUUAGAGGCUCUGGGUCAUGCUGGUAACUCCGCGGUGAAAAAGAAGAGAGUUUCUGACAAGGCUGCUGCGGCAUUUGCCACACUCAAGGCGAGGAAAUGCUAAAUGGGGCAGGUGGAAACCCCACCUGACUUUUUUUUUCUCUCAUGCCCUUCAGCUUUGUUUUGUUUUCCAUCGGGAAAGGCCACAGAAUGCGUAACCCUGGAAGAAAAUAAAAAAAUACACUGAAGAAAUGCUGAUCGUUAAAUACAGGAGAGAACAAAGUAGUACGGGAGUGGAAGACUCGGUUGCGGUGCACUCGGACAUGGGGCUACAUAUUCAGGACAACACUCAAAAGGAUCAGUUUUUUUUGCGGAGUAAUGGAAAUGAGAAGACAGAGGCAUUCUCUCUUUGGCAUUAUGUUGGACAUCCUGGAAUGCUUUCUUAUGCAGGAAAGAGAACAUCCCUGCUUCCUCUACCAAAUCUGACAUCAGCGAUGUUUGAACUCUUCAAAGGAGAAAAGGCAAGAGUCGACAGGAACCAGCACAGUCAGACUCGUCUUUGUCCAGCACUGCCUUUUAAUUUGUGGGAGAGAACCAUAGGAGAGGUCACUUCAUGCUGUGUAUAUUGCUGACAUGCAGAGAUGGGAAAAACAGACAUACUCCUGAUUUCCUGUGAGAAUGACUUGCUAGAGCAGGAUGCUAUUCCAUUAAUGAAGCAGCCACACGGUUCUAGGGCAGCCCAGCAACUUUUGGUGUAAUAUUUAAAUCCUGCGUGCGUGGCAACAUUUUUUGUCAGCUCUGCUAGUAAUCUUAUUAAAUUUAUAGAUGUGUUGGAUCUUCAGGUUUUCAGUUUUUAAGUUACCAAAAUAAAAAAUAGAUCAAUCGUUCUCACUUAUUUGUGAACGUCCUAUUUUUGUCACAAUUGCCUUAUUUUAAAUGUAAAUGUCCUAGAUUUUGUUUUCUAACCUGAAAAAGAGGUGUAACACAGAAUAUCCAACAAUUAAAACUGUGCAAAAUACACUUUAAUGUUUCUGUACUCCUUCAGCUGUUACAACUUUGAAUUCCCCAAAUCAACAUAUGAAGCACAUGAAAGGUUUGGUCUAUUCUGCUUUACAGAUCAUUAAAAUGCACUGCUGUUCCUAGGAUAAGCUGUAUUGCUGCUUGAUAAAUAUUCAUAAAAGUAUGUGAAUAAAUGCAGUUCAACAGGGUUCUGUCAUGAAAUACCAACUAUUUCUAAAAAUCUCAUCAGCUCUGCUAAAAUUGCCUUUAUUUUUAUGGUUUACUCAAAGAGCUUAAAAAAAUCACUACUAAUGGUUAGGCAUUAGACACAGAAUUCAUAGAAGGUCUUAUUAUUGUAUUUUAAUUCCCUGUGGUAACAAUAAUGUUGCAGAAACUGGUAAAUGCUGAAGCAAGAACAGAAAGGUCAAAAGCAGCAUAAGGUAUCCGCAAGGAGUGCGGCUCUGUGCCCUGCCUAUGCUCAUUGAGAAGUCAAUGAUGCAAUACUUGGAAAGCACUUUUGGUUUUAGAUUGGGUUCAUAUUGUUUGCAUAAAACAAAUUUAAGCAAGAUGGAAGGAUUAAAAUAUAUUUUUUUAUAUCCUAAGGACUAAAAUAUAAUUUGUUGUAGAUAAGAUAAUCUUCAUUGAAGAUUUUAUUUCAAAGCACCCAAAACAGGUACAGCAGGAGAGUAGCCAAUGAUAAAUUGACCCUGCAGUAAUCCUGACGUUGUAUUUCGGUAUUGAGCUGCUGUGAUUUAGCCUGUGAAUGUUGGUUGUUUAAUCAGUUUGAAAAGCAGUUUUGUACUGGGAUGGUUCUCCCAGAAUACAUUUGUAGGGAUUUUAGCUCUUGAUGUCAUCAAAUCAAGCAUUUCUGCAAGGCUGUACCUGGCAACUGCGCUGGUUAUGAUCUAGACGCUUGAAUCUUUUUUUCUUUUUUUUUUUUCCCCAGUCGCACAGCUACUUUCAGGGCAAUUUGCGUCUGCAACCAGCAUGAAAUGAUGUAAGUGCAAACAGGUUGCGGUUCUGUUCAUUAAACACCACAUACACCUAACAGAAGGGUUGCUAUCAACCCGUCUCCUCUGGUUCUGUAAGAGAUGAAAAAAGCUGCAACUUUUUGAGAAUUGGUCAUGAAAAUGAUUGGUGUUUUCCAGUCCUCUCUGCUAGAGGCCCCUAAAUUGCAUCUCUAACGUUAUCCCUGGCCUUGUGUUGCACAGUGGUCAGGGCAGCCUGCCUCUGAGUCUCUCCGGGAACAGUAGUGGUCUCAGAGUUGUGCUAAGCACUUCGGCUUCUCCAGUUAUAAAAUCUGAUGUGUAGAAAGCCUGAACUAUGUUUCUGCCUCCCUCAGACACGGCCCGAGAGCCACCCGUAGGGAACAGCUUCGCUUUGGGGGAGGGGGCUGGGUUCUUUCUGCCGUUGGGGCCGGAGAACAGGCGAGGCGCACGACACAGGACGGGACAGGAGGGCAGCGGCCGCCUUUCUCCUGCCCAGGGCGGUGGGGACGGCCGGGCAGCGCUCCCCUGGCCGCAGCUCCCAGGGUGCGGGUGCCCGCCUGGGGUCCCCUUCCCGCAGCCCUCCCCGCCCAGGGCCGGCCGGUGCCUGAGGGGCGGGCGGUGAGUGACGGCGCCAGCGGGCGGGGAGCGACGAGGGAGCCGCGGGGCUGUCGAACGGGAGCACCAGGAAGGAGGGCGGCGGGGCCCGGGGCGAGGAAGGGCUGUGGUGUGCCUGCCCUGCGCCCGCAGCCUUGCCCCCGCUUCUCUUCUCCCCGGAGCUCGUCGGCGGGGCCGAGGACGCGACGCGUGCCGGGAACGUGCCGGAGCU